rnacentral:rRNA from 1 species
UACAGAGGUCUCGAGCGUUAGGCGGAAUCACUGGGCUUAAAGGGCGCGUAGGCGGGCUGCCAAGUCUGGGGUGAAAUCCCACGGCUCAACCGUGGAACUGCCUCGGAUACUGGCGGCCUCGAGGGAGGUAGGGGCGUGCGGAACUGUGGGUGGAGCGGUGAAAUGCGUUGAUAUCCACAGGAACUCCGGUGGCGAAGGCGGCACGCUGGACCUCUUCUGACGCUGAGGCGCGAAAGCCAGGGGAGCAAACGGG